rnacentral:rRNA from 1 species
GAUGAACGCUGGCGGCGUGCCUAAUACAUGCAAGUCGAGCGAACGGACGAGAAGCUUGCUUCUCUGAUGUUAGCGGCGGACGGGUGAGUAACACGUGGAUAACCUACCUAUAAGACUGGGAUAACUUCGGGAAACCGGAGCUAAUACCGGAUAAUAUUUUGAACCGCAUGGUUCAAAAGUGAAAGGCGGUCUUGCUGUCACUUAUAGAUGGAUCCGCGCUGCAUUAGCUAGUUGGUAAGGUAACGGCUUACCAAGGCAACGAUGCCUAGCCGACCUGAGAGGGUGAUCGGCCACACUGGAACUGAGACACGGUCCAGACUCCUACGGGAGGCAGCAGUAGGGAAUCUUCCGCAAUGGGCGAAAGCCUGACGGAGCAACGCCGCGUGAGUGAUGAAGGUCUUCGGAUCGUAAAACUCUGUUAUUAGGGAAGAACAUAUGUGUAAGUAACUGUGCACAUCUUGACGGUACCUAAUCAGAAAGCCACGGCUAACUACGUG